rnacentral:rRNA from 1 species
AUGUCUACAUCAGAGGGUUCGGAGAGUGCUGAUUCCAUGGAUGAGGAUACGAGUCAAGUACCACAUGCGAGAAGGUCCAAGGUAUGGGAGCAUUAUGAAGUAGAUCUGGUUCUCGUAGAUGGUGAUCUCAAGGCUGUGUGCAAAUACUGUGGAGUGCAACUUCACACCAAGUUUGGGACAAGCAGUUUGAGGACCCAUAUUGCAGAGGCUUGCCGAUCAAUUCAGGAUGCUUGCAGGAAGAGGUUUUUGUUGACCAUGAAAUAA